rnacentral:rRNA from 1 species
GACGAACGCUGGCGGCGUGCCUAAUACAUGCAAGUCGAGCGGACUUUCCGGAGUGCUUGCACUCCGGAAGGUUAGCGGCGGACGGGUGAGUAACACGUAGGCAACCUGCCCAUAAGACCGGGAUAACAUUCGGAAACGAAUGCUAAUACCGGAUAGACGGACUUCUCGCAUGAGGGGAUCGGGAAAGGCGGAGCAAUCUGCCGCUUAUGGAUGGGCCUGCGGCGCAUUAGCUAGGUGGUGGGGUAACGGCCUACCAAGGCGACGAUGCGUAGCCGACCUGAUGGGGGGCGGGCCCACAGUGGGAGGGACACCGCCCCCACCCCCCUGGGGGGGCAAGAGGGGGGGAUCUUCCGGCAAGGCAGGAAGUCCGACGGGACCACCCCGGGGGGGGGGGGAAGGCCUUCGGGUUCUAAAUCCCCGUUGGCCGGGAAAGAGGGGGAGGGGGAGUACCGCCCUUUGCCAUGCGGGAACCGGAGAGAAAGCCCCGGGCAAACUAGGGC